GGGAAAAAAACAACGCGCCUCUAUUGUUGAGGGUGCCUUGUACCUGGGCCGCGAAGUGCGGCGGAGCUGAGACCCCGCGGGAGGGACCCCGGCUCCGGGCUGGGGUCGGGGGUUUGGGGAGGAAGAUCCAGCCUGGGGCCGGCAGGGCUGCCUCCGUUCCCCGGGGGUUUCGGGAGGGGACAAGGCAGCCCUGGGGUCCGGCCGAGCGCGGAGGAGGAGGAAGGCGGCGGGGCAGGGUAAUGCGUGGAGAAGCAGCGUCGCUUAUACAAGAUGUUGAUGGAAUUUACUAUAUUAUUAAAGGAAAAAAAAAAAAUCCCCUUUCAAGAAUAAAGUGUAUCAACUUACAACACAACAGACGGCAGAGGGAUAAGUGAAACAGACAAAAGACAAACAAGAUAAUAAUCUGUUUCCAAUCAGUUAAGCCCUGUAGAAUUUGUAAUACGCGGUUUGCAUAUUCCCCCUGCGUUUUGUAAUUAAUUAUCUAUCUGUUCGGAUGCUCCGCCGCCGACUCUGUAGAUAUUACCAACUAUUUUUGGGGUUGUAGGCGGUGAUCGCGCCGGGGAAGGAGCGCGGAGCGGGGCCGGGCUCCGCGGCUCCGGCCGGCCCGAGGAUGCCGAGCCGGGCGCGGUGGGAGGCGGCGGCUCCGCGGCGCUCCGCGCUCCUCCGGGCGGGCGAGGCUGCUCCCCCCGCGCUCCCCUCCUUUCCCCUGGUAAGAGGGGGGACGGGGCAGGUUUUAACAUUAAACAAACCCAGCAAGCAUCUCCUCGCCGGGCCAUAGGCGUUUCUGAGUGACUGCGUUACAAAUUGUAAAUUUAAAUAGCUCACAGGAUUCAUUACCUCCCGCGUCUGAUUUCACCCAGCCGUGAAAAAUUGUCCUGGUGUACCACUGAGAAAGGGUUUGCUGCAAAGAGCCACAGUCUAAUCACCAGCUUUCUCUCGCCAACAAAAGUGUAAUUAUUUUGUUUUGGGUGUAAAUAUAACCCACGGUACAAAAAAAAAAAAAAAAAAAAAAAAAAAAAAAAAAAAAAAAAAAAAAAAAAANGGGAAAAAAAAAAGAUAAACCUCCAGCAGCGU
rnacentral:lncRNA from 1 species